rnacentral:lncRNA from 1 species
CCCCGCCAAAAUCUACCAGGUACAAUACCUGUUUUCCAGCAAAAUUUACCAGUUUUGGUAACUGUUCCGCAACAAAAUUUAAUAGUUGCCCAGCAAGAUCUACCAGGUUCAGUACCAGUUUUCCAGCAACAUCUACCAGGUUCAGUAUCAGUUGCCCAAUAAAAUUUAAUACCUUCGGUAGCAAUUCCGCCCCAAAAUUUAGUAGUUCUCCACCAAAAUUUACCAGGUUCAGUAUCAACCCCCAAACAAAAUUUAUCGAAUUCAGUAGCAGUUGCCCAACAAAAUUUAUCACUUGUCCACAACCAUUUAUUACAAA